ACCACCCAAAAACCCUUCCCUUAGUUUUCCUUCUCCCAUGUUUUUCUUAUAUUAAGUCUACUUAGGUAAGCUGGGAUCGAAGAACAGAACAUCAUGAGCAUAAGCUAGCUUCGUGUUGUGCUGUCUCAAAUGUUCAUGAAGUCGUAAAUGCCGCCACACACCUCUGUUGUCUCAUAAAAAUGUCUCUUUUUCCUCGUCUCCAUAUCUUCGCUAGGCCUUUACUUUCCUCAUCUCUCUCUGCCCCUUCUGCCAGAAUGGAGGUAGACAAGUAAUGACCAGGAUUGGCAUGAAUGCCUGCUCUCUUUCUUCUGCAGGGUAGGAUUGUGGAAAUUUAUGGACGAGAUGCAGCUGGUAAGACUACAAUUGCACUUCGAAUUAUUAAAGAAGCUCAAAAGCUUGGAGGAUAUUGUGCAUAUCUUGAUGUGGAAAAUGCAUUGGACUUCUCACUUAUGGAAUCGAUGGGCGUAGAUACUGAAAACCUUCUUAUAUAUAUCACAUCCUGAUUGUGCUGAAAAUUUGUUAAGCAUGGUUGUUACAUUAACAAAAAGUGGUGCUGUAGAUGUGAUUGUGAUUGAUAGUGUAAGUUACUGUAUUUUGUCUUUAACACCUAGUAUAUUGCUCGAGGAUUUGGUUAAGUGAGGUGGAUUUAGAUUA